AGCAGUUUCAUUCGCGUGCAAAACAUCAACUGCAUAAAGAUUAAAUGACGAAGUGUGUUGUUCCGAAGUGCAGAAACCCUCGGUCGUCGGGGUUGGAAAAUAAACCGCAACCAGUUUCGUUCCAUAGGUUUCCUAGGAAUGCGAAACUACGGCAGAAAUGGCUCCGAUUUUUUCAGCAGGAUUUAAAAAUGGAAACAAAAAAUUUAUAUGUUUGUUCCCAACACUUCAGUACUGAUUGCUUUAUACAUAUAACUACGGAAAAAAUUCUGGCGAGCGAAACUGUUUCCGACAGCGGUUCCCAGUAUUAGAACGCCAACUGUAAUUCAGCCAUCCAAAAGAAUGAAACGAGCUGCACUGAUGGAAAUUCGAAAGGAAAUGGAAAACCUUUCGACACUACAAGUUUCAAUGUCCCAUACUUCUGAAACGACCUGUGUAGAGAAUAUUGAUAUUAACAAAAAUGGCACUGUGUUAGACAGCAGUUUUAUUCCCCCUACCCUAUAUCCAUUCAAAAUUGAGGCAAGCCACUAAAGAGCUAAAUGAGCUUCGUAAUAUUGUUGAUUUUCAAGCAAAAAAAAUUACACAAUUUAGAAGAGUUGAAUGGAGAAUUAAAAACGGUACAUAAUGAACAAUUAAUUGUGAAAGUUAUUAUAAUAAAAUUUCAAUAUAAGUUUCAAUAAUGUAGUUAUAGUGGUAUGAAACGUAUCAAUUUCAUGUUGCAUUCGGAAAACCUUUUCAGUCAAAAUUGCGUAUACAAUUGAUAUUUUCGCUUUCUCCAGGAAUAAUAACAUCAAAGAGACUGCUCGUAUAUAACCUACAUUAAAUAUUUUAGUAAUUGUUAAAGUUUAUUGACCAAGAUUAUUAUCGAAAUUGAAAUUCUUCGAAAUUUCAUAUACGUGAUAUCAAUCUGAGAAGCUAAGUCUUCACUGAUUUACCACUACUAAUGCAAUGCCAAGUCUAGACUACCUUAGAUAAAUAUUUCUUGAGUUCAAUGGAUAUUUCUGUCUACAAUCCGGAUUAAAGUUCAACAUCAAAAUUCAAUAGAGUUCGUUCAGUAACUUCUGAACCACCAUAACAACGAGAGCUAUAUUAUUGAAUCUCGAGCAAGAUCGAGUACUCAGCUAGUAUUCUUAUAAAAUCAGGAUAGUCUUAACAAUGAUCUACUAGAACAUACUGAUGGGAAUUGGUACCCUUCUAAGUAGGUAUUAAUGUUUUCAAAGCAAACGUAUACAGCUGUAGACUGAACUUUAUUGUGUUAUUCUUUUCUCUGUUGACAUUCGGUAACCGGCCGGCAAGAAUGCGAUAUGCAAAUAAAGUGUACUGGAUCUGCAACAAGAAAGUUAUUAAAACACACCUGGUAGCUGUUGACGAUCAGCGCAGACUGCUCCUGACCAAAUCAGUGAACUGUUUCGGAACCGGUUCCUAGACAGUGUGCGAAAUUCCUGAGCAAUGUUGGCUUCCCGUUAGAGAUUAGCUUUGAUCAAUAUAUUUUCUAUUACAUAUUCGCAGCUUUUUCGUGCUGCUCGCUAGUUGAGGUUUUUUGCAAUUAUUAUUUUGUAACCAAAAGUUGGUUAGUUUUAAUACAUUCAUUCAAAGUUGACUCGAUUGUAAUGGGCUUUAGGGUUAUUUUUCGCAGGAAAAUAGAGUAUGUUUGAAACGAUGUUGUACCUAUAUUGAACAAUGUCAGAAAAUUUCUCAACUUACAACAACUUAAUCGAUUACCUGUAUUUAGUUAGAUUACACAUUAUACCUUGAAUUGAAAAUAGUCAUUAAAGAUGUAAGCAAACUGAAGUAAAUAUCAAAGUAUAAUUAGCAUAACAACACCGAAA